GAUGAACGCUGGCGGCGUGCCUAAUACAUGCAAGUCGAGCGGUAAGGCCCUUCGGGGUACACGAGCGGCGGACGGCUGAGUAACACGUAGGAACGUACCCCAAACUGAGGGAUAAGCACCAGAAAUGGUGUCUAAUACCGCAUGUGGCCUUCGGGCUAAAGCUCCGGCGGUUUGGGAACGGCCUGCGCAUGAUUAGCUUGUUGGUGAGGUAAUGGCUCACCAAGGCGAUGAUCAUUAGCUGGUCUGAGAGGAUGACCAGCCAGACUGGGACUGAGAACGGCCCAGACUCCUACGGGAGGCAGCAGUAGGGAAUUUUCCACAAUGGGCGAAAGCCUGAUGGAGCAACGCCGCGUGCAGGAUGAAUGUCUUCGGAUUGUAAACUGCUUUUAUAUGUGACGAUUAUGACGGUAGCAUAUGAAUAAGGAUCGGCUAACUCCGUGCCAGCAGCCGCAGUAACAC
rnacentral:rRNA from 1 species